rnacentral:rRNA from 1 species
UACGUAGGGUCCGAGCGUUGUCCGGAAUUAUUGGGCGUAAAGGGCUCGUAGGCGGUUUGUCGCGUCGGGAGUGAAAACUCAGGGCUCAACCCUGAGCGUGCUUCCGAUACGGGCAGACUAGAGGUAUGCAGGGGAGAACGGAAUUCCUGGUGUAGCGGUGGAAUGCGCAGAUAUCAGGAGGAACACCGGUGGCGAAGGCGGUUCUCUGGGCAUUACCUGACGCUGAGGAGCGAAAGCCAGGGGAGCAAACGGG